CCUACGGGAGGCAGCAGUGAGGAAUAUUGGUCAAUGGACGAGAGUCUGAACCAGCCAAGUAGCGUGAAGGAUGACUGCCCUAUGGGUUGUAAACUUCUUUUAUAUGGGAAUAAAAUGUUCCACGUGUGGGCUUUUGUAUGUACCAUAUGAAUAAGGAUCGGCUAAAUCCGUGCCAACAGCCGCGGUAAUACGGAGGAUGCGAACGUUAUCCGGAUUUAUUGGGUUUAAAGGGUGCGUAGGCGGAGUGUCAAGUCAGCGGUAAAAUUUCGGGGCUCAACCCCGUCGUGCCGUUGAAAAUGACACCCUUGAGUGAGUGAGAAGUAAGCGGAAUGCGUGGUGUAGCGGUGAAAUGCAUAGAUAUCACGCAGAACGCCGAUUGCGAAGGCAGCUUACCGGCGCUCAACUGACGCUGAGGCACGAAAGUGCGGGUAUCGAACAGGAUUAGAUACCCCAGUAGUC
rnacentral:rRNA from 1 species